rnacentral:rRNA from 1 species
AUUGAACGCUGGCGGCAGGCCUAACACAUGCAAGUCGAGCGAGCGGCGGACGGGUGAGUAAUGUAUGGGGACUGCCCGAUAGAGGGGGAUAACUACUGGAAACGGUGGCUAAUACCGCAUACUAUCGGAUAACCCAUAUGGGAUUAGCUAGUAGGUGGGGUAAAGGCUCACCUAGGCGACGAUCUCUAGCUGGUCUGAGAGGAUGAUCAGCCACACUGGAACUGAGACACGGCCCAGACUCCUCCGGGGGCACAAUGGGGGAAUAUGGCACAAUGGGCGAAAGCCGGAGUGAGCCAGGCCGGGUGUAUGAAGAAGGCCUUAGGGUGGUAAAGUACUUUCAGCGGGGAGGCGUUACCCGCAGAAGAAGCACCGGCUAACUCCGUGCCAGCAGCCGCGGUAAUAC